GUUAGUGGCGGGGCUGAAGGUAAACAGGCUGUUGUGUUUCCUCGGUGCUGUUAGUUGCUGUGUGGCCGGUAGCCAUGUGAUGAGGUAGAUGCACCUAAAAACAAAACCACUGUGCAAGUAUAAUGCUGAUGGGGAGAGAGCCACUUUUCAGGGCUGAGGGAGCAACACGAAUUCACUUGUGUGGUCCUAGACCCUGGCUUGCGCUCUUUUCCGCGCCCUCCCCGAGAGGCCCAAGCAAAACGAAAGCACUGAAAGAAUUAACAGUGCUAGACAUGGCGCUGGACCAUCUCCUGACCUUUCCUAGGCAGGCAGGAGAACCAAGUGAACCAAGUGAUUUACUGUUAAGUACCUAAAAAUGCGGAGAAUUAUGUCGUGGCCUCAAAGGGGGAGAGAUAGAAGUCCUUGCAAAGGAGGUGGCCUCCAUCUUCAGGGGGAGCAAAGAAUCCGUUUAAAUUAAAAGGAUAAAAAGUGGGGCCAUAAAAGAACGAGAUCAUGUCCUUUGUAGGGACAUGAUGGAGCUGGAGGCCCUUAUCCUUAAGCAAACUAACAAAGGAACAGAAAACCAAAUACCGCACGUUCUCACUUAUAAGUGGGAGCUAAAUGAUGAGAACACAUGGACACAAAAGAGGGGGACAACACACACUGGGGCCUUUCGGAGGGUGGAGGGUGGGAGGAGGGCGAGGAUCAGGAAAAAUAACUAAUGGGUACUAGGCUUAAUACCUGGGUGACAAAAUAGCCUGUACAACAAACACCCGUGACACAAGUUUACCUAUAUAACAAACCUGCACUUGUACCCCUGAACUUAAAAGUUUAAAAAAAAAAAACAAGACAAAAAGAUGUUAUAGGAAGGCGAAAACGGUACACCAGCUAAAAUUGUUCCCAGAGACAAUUCUAGUUUAAAUCAUCUCUUAUACUGGAACAGUUAGGUUUGACUUAAGGUGGUUUUCCUGACCACUAAUUAUAAGAGCUGAGGGUG
rnacentral:lncRNA from 1 species